rnacentral:sRNA from 1 species
CGCUCCAUAGGCUCCCUGGUGGGGCGCGGGCGCGGGCGCGCGCACGGACGUCCAGCACGCACGCACAUCCAGCACGCACGCACGUACGUCCGGCACUUCCGGCCGCGGCGGCCUCAGCGCCGGCCCGAAGGGACCAGGCCGCCGUCCCCAGCGAGAGGCAUGCAGCACUGAGGAGCGGCGACCCAGCACGGCGGCGCCAUGAACCUCCUGCCGUGUAACCCUCACGGCAACGGGCUGCUCUACGCCGGCUUCAACCAGGACCACGGAUGCUUUGCGUGUGGGAUGGAAAAUGGAUUCCGAGUCUAUAACACUGAUCCACUAAAAGAAAAAGAGAAACAAGAAUUUCUAGAAGGAGGAGUUGGCCAUGUUGAAAUGUUAUUUCGCUGCAACUAUUUAGCUUUAGUUGGUGGUGGAAAAAAGCCGAAAUACCCUCCCAACAAAGUAAUGAUCUGGGAUGACCUGAAGAAGAAGACUGUUAUUGAAAUAGAAUUUUCUACAGAAGUCAAGGCAGUCAAACUGCGGCGAGAUAGGGGUCCGCUGGAGGUAAGUAGGUGGUGGCGUGGAUGACGUGCGCCACAGUGGACCAGCCAGUGGGUCUCACCAUGGUGAGUUCUGUCCCAUUCCGACAUGUGCAGAGCUGAGGACAUGAGUUUUGAGCCUUGAAUUACCCUGGGGUUUUAGCCCCUGCUUUGCCAAAUGCUGCCUCUCAAUAAAGGUUUUCGGUUUGAAGGUAAAGGAAAAUUGAAUUUU